CUGCAUGUCAUCUGAGGGCUGCAGCUUGCUCCAUAGCUACAGCGUCUCCAACAGCAUGCUAAAAAAACCUGAGGGGCUUUGACAGCUUGGGUCACUGAUUUCCCAUGCAGUCACUCUACCCUCCUACAACA